GGACUGUAGCUCAGUGGUAGAGUGCUUGCCUAUCAUGUGGGAGUCACUGGGUUCGAUCCUCAGCAUCA
rnacentral:tRNA from 1 species